AUCCGUUUGUUUCAAUUAAUUUUACAUUUCCAUUACAUAAUUUAUCUCCUUCCUGUGUAUAACGAAAAAAUACAGUGUAUGAUAUCAAAUCUCGAAAAACCACUUAAUUUUUAAUGUGCCGUUUCUGACCACAUAAUUACUGACUCCGCAUGAUACCAAAUAUUAUUUCAAGAUUAAACGGUAUAACCUACUGAAAAGAUUGUUACAACAAUUAAAAAUAAAGUGUCAAUUUUAAGCUUCACCUAUAAUUGUAAGUAGAUCAAUUUGUUUCGGUUGAGCUUCGGUCGUGCGCCUUCACGAAACGGAUUUUUGUUAACUAAAUAAUGAUCCAAUUCGUACAUCGUAUUCAAUAAUUUGACGUCACAUACAGCAUUCUGUAUUCGUGUUGUGCAUAGAUUAGUUUUAUACGAUAAAUUGUGGUAGAAUCUGUUGCAACACAGAACCUAAAGGUUGUCUGUCUCAAAAGGAGGCAUGGAAGGCGAUCAUCUUUGAAGGAAAAUGAACGCUAACUAUUGAAUUCUGCACACACUAAGAUAGGUAGCGAUAAAGUCAAAAUUCGUGAUCUAUAACAAAGGAGGGUACUAUAGCGGAUAACUACUUACGAUAGAGAAACACAUGGAUUCAAUUGGUCAAGGGAACGAAUGGCUGCAGAAGGCACAGAAGGCAAAUGGUCGUAGUUUUAAAGUGCAAUAACCUGUGUUCUAUCGAGGGUCGACCGUUUGUCUGUAAUCAUGUUCACCUAUGCCGAAUGAAAUUGUAGGAAAACGUAUACCUAUUGAGACAAAAUACAUAUUUUUAUUUCAA